UAACCAAAAAAUAUCUACAGUGAAAGUUUUCACACAAAUCUUCCACCUAAAAUAUCUACAUAUGUGGAAGUUUCCACACAUAUCUUCCACCUCUAUAUCCCAUCUAUAAAUAUAGGUGUUGUCAUCCACUAGGGUCAAUUAAGAAAAAAUCCACACAUACAAAUAGUCCUAAUGCUCCACCAUACUAAAAAAAUUGUUUCAUCUCAUAAGGUUACUUAAAAUUUCCUCCUUGUAAUUUUAUCCACUAUUCUUCUAAUAUUCUUUUGUGAGUACUUAUUAUUUUGAGAGUUAUUUUGUAAUCUUACACCCUAACCAUUAGGAUCUUUUCUCUUUUGUACUCUCAUAUAUUUUAAUAUAGUAGAAUUAUUAUAAAGUGUUCGUUGGGUGUUAUUUUCUUGCCGUUUAUACUUUAUCAAUUUCUCGAUCAAUCACGCUUCCACGAGCAUUUUAACCUUACAAUUUGCACACCAUGUGUUCGAUAAAAUGUCUAAGUGAGUUUUUGUCCGACAGUACCAAACCAAACAAGGAAGACAAGGCCUGCUGAACCUGCUUAGAUUGCAUGAAGGUGAGGAAAAAUCAGACGGUUUUCGGAAUAAUUAUAUAGAACGAAGCUUGCUGGUUGGUCAAAGAACGUACUAAGCUGCCACCGUAGGUGCUGGAAUUGAGGCAAAUACAGCUCUGGAUUUACCUUGUCAUAAGGUUUCUUUUGGGCCUUCUCAGUUCUCCCCGAAACAUCAAGUGGCAGCCAUCCUGGAGGAACAAACUAAAAUGGGCAACACCAAGAACUUUUGUAGCAGCGGGAACAACUUUUGCUAGCUAUUGCUCUGUUAAUUAAUUGCUAGUGAGCUUUGUAUUGUUUUCCAGGAAGCAUUUGAGUCGAAACACAUGUUUGCUGUUAUCGACAAUGCUUGAUGCUGGGGUUUAUCCAAAACAAGUACUAUAUUUUUCUUUUGGGUUAAACUUGUAAUAUUACAAUAAUUCUUAAUGAAAAUGUCU